rnacentral:rRNA from 1 species
AUUGAACGCUGGCGGCAGGCCUAACACAUGCAAGUCGAACGGUAGCACAGAGAGCUUGCUCUCGGGUGACGAGUGGCGGACGGGUGAGUAAUGUCUGGGAAACUGCCCGAUGGAGGGGGAUAACUACUGGAAACGGUAGCUAAUACCGCAUAACGUCGCAAGACCAAAGUGGGGGACCUUCGGGCCUCACACCAUCGGAUGUGCCCAGAUGGGAUUCGCUAGUAGGGGGGGUAAUGGCUAACCUAGGCGACGAUCCCUAGCUGGUCUGAGAGGAUGACCAGCCACACUGGAACUGAGACACGGUCCAGACUCCUACGGGAGGCAGCAGUGGGGAAUAUUGCACAAUGGGCGCAAGCCUGAUGCAGCCAUGCCGCGUGUAUGAAGAAGGCCUUCGGGUUGUAAAGUACUUUCAGCGGGGAGGAAGGCGGUGGAGUUAAUAACUUCACCGAUUGACGUUACCCGCAGAAGAAGCACCGGCUAACUCCGUGCCAGCCGCCGCAGUAA